rfam:Caenorhabditis japonica strain DF5081 Contig7103.1, whole genome shotgun sequence.
UGACUCUGAAUACCGUCGUUUUACUGUCAGUUUCGACUGACUCUAUCCGAGAAGGGUGUCUGCCCUUUCAACUAGAUGGUAAUCUAUUGGACUACCAUGGUUGUUACGGGUAACGGAGAAUUAGGGUUCGACUCCGGAGAGGGAGCCUUAGAAACGGCUACCACGUCCAAGGAAGGCAGCAGGCGCGAAACUUAUCCACUGUUGAGUAUGAGAUAGUGACUAAAAAUAUAAAGACUCAUCCUUUUGGAUGAGUUAUUUCAAUGAGUUGAAUAUAAAUUAUUCUUCGAGUAGCAAGGAGAGGGCAAGUCUGGUGCCAGCAGCCGCGGUAAUUCCAGCUCUCCUAGUGUAUCUCGUUAUUGCUGCGGUUAAAAAGCUCGUAGUUGGAUCUAGGUUACGUGCCGCAGUUCGCAAUUUGCGUUAACUGUGGUCGUGACUUCUAAUUUGCUGGUUUGAGGUUGGGUUCGCCCUUCAACUGCCAGCAGGUUUACCUUGAAUAAAUCAGAGUGCUCAAUACAGGCGCUUGCUUGAAUAGCUCAUCAUGGAAUAAUGAAACAGGACUUCGGUUCUUUUUGUUGGUUCUAGAAUUGAUCUAAUGGUUAAGAGGGACAAACCGGGGGCAUUCGUAUCAUUACGCGAGAGGUGAAAUUCGUGGACCGUAGUGAGACGCCCAAUAGCGAAAGCAUUUGCCAAGAAUGUCUUCAUUAAUCAAGAACGAAAGUCAGAGGUUCGAAGGCGAUUAGAUACCGCCCUAGUUCUGACCGUAAACGAUGCCAUCUCGCGAUUCGGAGGGUUCAUGCCCUACCGAGGAGCUACCCGGAAACGAAAGUCUUUCGGUUCCGGGGGUAGUAUGGUUGCAAAGCUGAAACUUAAAGAAAUUGACGGAAGGGCACCACAAGGCGUGGAAGCUUGCGGCUUAAUUUGACUCAACACGGGAAAACUCACCCGGUCCGGACACUAUUAGGACUGACAGAUUGAAAGCUCUUUCUCGAUUUGGUGGUUGGUGGUGCAUGGCCGUUCUUAGUUGGUGGAGUGAUUUGUCUGGUUUAUUCCGAUAACGAGCGAGACUCUAGCCUGCUAAAUAGUCGACGAAUCUUCGGGUUCGUAUAACUUCUUAAAGGGAUAAGCGGUGUUUAGCCGCACGAUAUUGAGCGAUAUCAGGUCUGUGAUGCCCUUAGAUGUCCGGGGGCUGCACGCGUG